rnacentral:rRNA from 1 species
CUGCUGCCUUCCGUAGGAGUUUGGGCCGUGUCUCAGUCCCAAUGUGGCCGUCCACCCUCUCAGGCCGGCUACUGAUCGCUGCCUUGGUGGGCCGUUACCCCGCCAACUAGCUAAUCAGACGCGGAUCCAUCGUAUACCACCGGAAUUUUUCACACUGCCCCAUGCGGAGCCGUGCGCUUAUGCGGUAUUAGCACCUAUUUCUAAGUGUUAUCCCCCGGUAUACGGCAGGUUAUCCGCGCGUUACUCACCCGUCCGCCAA